GCUUUGGACAUUUCUUUGAUUUCUUGUGCGCGACUGUGAAACAGGGUGUAACUUUUCUCUAUGGUGAAACCUUUUCGAGGUGUUUCUGCGUUGUAUUUUCGAUUUAAGUGGUCUUCGCUGCCGUGCCCACACUUGUUGCAGCCCAAGUAACAGUGGAGGCAUUAUGGGCAUGCUUCCCUGACACCUGGCUAUUCUAAAGACUGCAGAGCAGCAAGCACAGCACAUGCUAUGACAGGGUAGGUGAUCUCAGCUAAGGCAACUGGCCACGGCCAUCUGGUGUUGAGCGAUCGAGCAGUGAUAAGACAAUCCCCCUAUGUUCCAUAA